rnacentral:rRNA from 1 species
UACUAGCGGUCCGAGUGGCAGCCACAUUUAUUGGGUCUAAAACAUCCGUAGCUUGUCUCGUAAGUCUCUUGUGAAAUCUGGCAUCUUAAGUGUCAGGCGUGCAAGAGAUACUGCGAGGCUAGAGACCGGGAGACGUAAGGAGUACGGUUAGGGUAGCGGUUAAAUGCGUUGAUCCUUACUGGACUAACGAUAGCGAAGGCACCUUACGAGAACGGAUCUGACAGUCAGGGAUGAAGGCUAGGGUCGCAAAACGGAUUAGAUACCCGCGUA